AUUUUUGUCGACCUUGGCUGUAAGACACUCCUACACAAGCAAAUCAUACAAUUUUAGGUACCCAAAUUUUCUUGGGUCCUUCAUGGUUAGUAAUGUUGGUUCCUUUUGGAACCCAAACUCUUUUAAUUUUUCUUUUAGUUUUUUCUUUUCUAUAAUCACACACAUUUGCUUUAUGUCCUAAUGUUCCACAACAAAAAUA
rnacentral:lncRNA from 1 species